AGUCGCCCAGCUUUGGCCCAAUCCGCUUCCUGUCGAGGAAUAAACCAUGAGGAUGCGCCAUGGAGGUUUUCGAGUUCUGCGAGGUGCAAGAUCUUGAGAAUAAGAACCUAUGAACUGAUUGUGUGCUUCCGAUUUCUAUGCACGCUACAAGAUGUGCAGAUGCGUCCGGGGAGCAGACAGACGCCAAAAUUUGACGACACCAGACACAAGAACGUUGCUCUGACCAGACUGUGCUGACCGGUGCAGAGUUCGGCACACACAGAAAAGUGAAAGUCGUCUUACUCAAGUCGAUGCCCGACUUUCUAGACGCUCCGCUGCCUGAAAAACAGACUGCAAAUAAAUAAAGUGCAUUGGGAGCCCUCGAA